rnacentral:tRNA from 1 species
GCUCCCAUGGCGUAGUGGUCACUGCGCUCGCUUUGCACGCGGGAGACCUGGGUUCGAUUCCCGGCGGGGUCA